rnacentral:ncRNA from 1 species
GGUGAGGAUUUUAGCGAUAUAGGGAAUGAGCGGUAAGUUCAGGAUUAAGAGGAUCACAUUACCAAAGUACAUGGAUAUAAUCACCGACCAAAAGACCUCUGGCUGAUCGACCAUCAACCGCGGUCC